rnacentral:tRNA from 1 species
GAGCCGGUAGCUCAGUCUGGUAGAGCAACGGACUUUUAAUCCGUGGGUCGCGGGUUCAAAUCCCGCCCGGCUCA